UGCUUAAGAGCCAUUAUGAGCUGUAAUUUCUUCAAGAGAACUGGAGUGCUUUCUUCAUUGACGCAAAUGGUUUUUUUGUAUGAAAGAUGGCAUGGAGAUGCCUAUAUUCCUCCCAGUACAGCUGUUGGACCAUCACUUGAUUUAUACUGCACAUCAUCAUGCCCAGAUGGGAUGUGUCCAUCUCUCAGGCUGCAUGAGGACACCAAGACCCUUCAGGACCUAUGCACUGCUCCACCUCUGCAGAGUCCUUGGUCCCUCUGAAGCAUGGGCUGCAAUUGAAGAACAGUCAGGUGUGCAGAGCAGUCCCUUCAGAAGCCCCCAUGGGAUUUAGGACUUGGGAACCCCUGCUGCAAACAAAUGAAGGCUGAGGCUUGGGCCAUCUGAGUAGAGUUCUUAGAAGUCAGAUGUGCUGCAAAAGUCAUUUAGCAAUAACCCUGUGGCAAGUACAAAGGAAGAGCAUCUUAGCACUGAAUUAUUUUGGGGAGAAAGUACUUAAAAUUUGCACUAGAAACUUUUCCUUCUAGGAUGUUUUAAUCUUAGAGCAAUGCUAAUCUUAAGAUCUCAAGACAAGAAUACUGAUCUACUUUCAUUUUCUAUUUGAAAAACAUUGUUACUUGAAGAAAAACUUUCAGGCAUAAUUUUAAGUACUUAACAAUAUUGUGUUAAUGGUCAUUAUGAAGAAAGAUGCUCCAAAUACAUUGUGUAUUUUCGUCAGUGUCUGAUUCUCUGCUAGUGAUAAAGCUUUCUUAAUACAGCUUAGUAAUAUUGUGUAAAGGGAUUCAGGGGCACUUGACAGAAUACACAAAGUGUAUGGUUAUAUGUGAUGCGUAGUAUUGCACAGAAUUUUCCAAGCCUCAUAAAUGCUGUGACUCCUUUCUUCAAGAUUUACUUGUCUAGCAAUUUUGAAGCUGCCUUUAUCCCUGUGUAAUGGCUGCAGAAGUCUCUGCCAAAGAGGAAGGUGAAUAGGCUCUAGGAUCAGCUUGGACAAUUUACAUGACUUUCUAGUAUGUAUGGUGUGUUCUCCCAGGGUUUUCAGGGUGAUUGUGCCCAUUUAUUUUUCUCCAGUGAAAAUAUUCAUCUUUUGGAUGGAGAGAAACUCAGUGUUCAUGCAGCAGAAAUAAAUAGGCAGGCAAAGCUGUGUCUUGAUGAAGCAUAUUGUUUUUUGCAGUAUAGUUAAUUUACAAAUACUUGGUCAUUAUUGAAGAGACUGUGGGUAUCCUUGCUCACUUCUGAUUCAGACCGUUUCACCUUCUAUGAGUAGUUCUGCUUAUGCAAGUAACAUGGAGAGAUACCAAGGGUGUUUCUCAGAUAUCUGGGUUUAACUUGCUGCAAUCGUGUGUGCCAGUUGUUGUCUUGCCUAUAAAUGAACUGACCAAGUGAGUAUCAGAGGUGGAGGUGGGGCAGCUGGGACCCUCUAUCAUGCUGCUCAGGUAGUGUGUAUUGUGUGCUUGAAGUCCCAUAUUGUAUAGAAAUGUGCAAAAGCCCUGUUACCCUUGCCUUAUAUUAGGCUUUUUAACAAAUGAGUGAACUGUAGUCUUGCUAUUCUGCUGUAACUCUAUCAUUCACUCACUUAAGAGUCAAAUUUAGAGACUUGUUUAGCUCCCAAAAUGAAAAGAAAUGGUUUGCCCCACAGUAGCGGAUAGGUAAUAUGCUCUCCAACUUGUCUCUAUUCUUCCUGAGUACAUUUUUUUUCCUGGAGAAAAUCCCCUCUGUCUGCCCUCUUAAGAGAUGCAUAAGCUCUGUCCCAUCCUCUUCAGCUUUCUACACAUAUGGACAUGUAGUAUUGCUGUAAGAUCACAAAACGUGCUUACUGAGCUUUGGUCCACACUGUGGCAAAGGUGAGAUGGCUGCCUACUCAGCCAAUGAAUAAUGGCAUGAUCAGAAUCUCUGGCAAAUGCUCAACAGUUGUUGGUGGUGGGAGAAGCGCCUUUUCCUCAGUUUCCAAACAGCUGGAAGUAUUUGGAGGCUAUUGUGUUGUGCCAUGGACAUUGUUCUGAAACUCUUAAAGCUGAGAUGUGUUAUGGUUCAUGUGUCAUAAUCUUCCCAGGGACUGGUGACGAGGACUACAAGGGAGUCUGUACAGGGAUGUGUGCUGUUGAACUCCUCUAUCUAUCCCUUGGAAAAGGCAAUGGAGCAUGCUGGCAGCAGAUUUGACCCCAAGUUGGUGGGAUGAGUAAUAUGCCCAAGUGCAAGGCUGCCAUGCAGUGGGACAAAGGCAGGUUGGAGUGCCUGCCUGGGAUCUUCUGUAAUUCAGCAAGCGUGAAUGCCAAGUCCUGUCCAGCAGAGGAUGAGUCAGUUGAAUGUGAACAUGGCUAGGUUUUUGUACAGCAAGGUGUCAAGUUGUUCAUAGUAGUUAAUAUCUCAAAUUCAUAGGGCAAUAAUAAGAGCUGUGCAUGACCUCUGAGGGGGCAUUUCUGCCAGAAAGGGCCUCAAGGUGCUAGGUGUGAGCCAGUCUUGUGCUCUGGCAAGGGGAGGAGGCUCCUGGCAUCCUGGGUUGUGUAAGAGCACAGGCAGCAGGUGGGAGGAGGUGACAGCCUCCUCUCCUCCCUGUCUGAUGGGCCAUGGAACCUCCUGGGAGGAGGUUAUUAGGGGCUUCCCUCUUUUGCUAAAACUGCUUCAUAUUUUGCUGUGAUAAGUAUGUGCUCAGAGGCACUCAACCCUGGAGGAAAUAAUUUACUCCCAGGUCAGUCUGCUGACUUGUUUCUGUUGCAGUCCUUAAAUUAAUCCUUUCAGAGGUGUGUAUAACAAGCCAGAGAACUGGUAUUUUAUUGCACUUGUGGCCAGUAUUUGAAUUUCUACUUUCUAAUUUGAGUAUCUCUUCUCAAACACCACCAGUGUAAAGUUAAAGCUGUCUCUGCCUUUCGGCUUCAAUCUGUACUUGCAAUAAAGCUUUUAAGAGCACAGUGUCAUUGAAUCUGGUGGCCACUCAGACAUCUCUAUCCAUGAAGCAUGGUACAGAAUCUGUUAUACAAUGCAUGUAGCAAAUAUAGACCAAUUUCAGCUCUG